GGCGGGGUCAAUGGGGACACACGUCUGUUGUUCUUCCUUUGCGUCAAACACUUCUUCCGAUUAACGCUAUCUAACUUCCAAAGAAGAACACCACCUUAUUUUUAAUCAAUACCGGUUUCUCUCAAAUUCAUCUUCCGUCUCUUUCAUCCCACUUGCGUACUCUAUUGUACACUACUUCAAACCACUGCUAUCGACAACUUUCAAUAAUCGGUCGUUGGGUUUUACCUCAAGUUUCUCAUCGUCUUUAAGAAUGAAAACCUAGAGGGACGAUGAAGGUCCUCUUUGUCGGUGUCGCCAGAAACGUCAACAAUGAUCUCCCCUCUUUGAGAAUCGUCGGCCUCCACCACUUCCUGUAAUCUCUGCCGUCCUCUACACAUCCCAGAAAUCGACGUUCGAUAGGCUCAUCUAUUUCACACAAAAUGGCAGGUGAAACACACACACGCACACAUAUGUCAACAGUUGGCGUCUUUGCGUUGAAGGUGCGAUUUGUUUUCAGGAUUUUACAGGGGCUAAAAGAGACGCAGUUAGGCUUAUGUCAAGUUUUGGAAAACCUUAUGUUUGAGGUGAUCCGAUUGAAAUUUCAAUUCACAUGAAUGUUUAUAAUCUUACCUCCAUGAAUGAAUAUGUUUAUUGAAAUUUCGUCUAUCAUUAUGGUGUCCAAGGUUUGAUCUGUUUCAGUUAAUUUCAUGAAUUAAGAAGGUUUUGACUAUUUAGGAUCAUCAAGGAGAAUCUGAUGAAACUCGUAAAGGAGGUUCUGUUGCAUUGGGGGAGUGCAAGAGGCAAGUUUCACGGGGAAUAGGUUGUACGAAUGGAUCCUUCUUUCCAGGUGUGUCUACUGCGGUAUGCUUUUAUACAUUAAAAUUCUAAUUUUAGAGUUUCACUUUGAUGUGUAAUUCUCUUAUGAUGAACAGAUUGAAUAGCACUUUCAUCUUCUGUAAUUUUAGCAACUCUGAAUGGACAAAUUAUUGUUAGUAAUGGAGAGUGUCAGCUCAUCUGCACAUCUGCAGGAUCUUCAAGCUCUAAUUUGGCUCAACAAUUCCUAGGGAUGUGGUUUCCUCUUUUUAUGGGCUUAUAUGGGCUUAUGGUUAUUUGAAGACCAAGGUCAUCUGACACAUUGUGGUUAUACCUCAGAAAAAGAGGAUUCUUUCGGGGCUUGUUGGUAGCUUAAUCUUGCAAUGCUUAAAGGUUUUGCCAUUUUGAUUGACCAUAUGUGGCUGUCUGGGUGCUCAUGGUGGUUCAAAUCUAAAUUGUGUGACUGUAUUUGUUAUUAAUAUUCAAUAUUGAUGAUUAGACAACCUUGUAGAAGAAUUUUCGAUGAUGUAAUAUAUCUAUAAAAUUGAUGUAACCAUAAAUUUAUAUUUAUUACAUUUUUAUAUAUUUUUAUGAAUA